rnacentral:lncRNA from 1 species
UGAUUGAUUUGACUCCUCCUUCUGAAGUCCCAGGCCAGGUAAUGCAAGGGGGGAGGGGAGGGAAGAAGCAGAAAUUCAAAGAUCAAAAGAGAAAGUGUCAAGUUCUCCAGAAUAAGAGAAAGAGCACAGAGAGUAGAAAAUGGACAGCUUCCCUCCUCCCCCCCCUACUCUUUAACAGGUUUUCUUGGCAGAAAUACUGAAAUGGUUUGCCGUUUCCUUCUCCAGCUUUACAGAAGAGGAAACUGAGUCUUUACACCAUUUCAAUGUAAAGUGCCAAUUAUCCGGCAGUCUGAUUUCUGGAAACCUUAACCUUCGGAAAAGCAGCUGAGAAGUCAGAGAUAUGAAAAAACCUUGUGUCCAACAAACACAACCGGCAUCAAUUCCAAAGACUUUCCCAUAGAAGGAGAGUGGAGCUACAUUCUCUCCUCAGGAAGACAAUAUUUUGAUUUCCUUUUAUUUGCUUGUCUAUCUACUUUGCACACAGUACGAUUGCAAUAAAUGAUGAAUUGAACUGAAUUAAACUGAUUUU